AAUCUUACCCAAACUAAGCUAAGCAGGGAGAGGCCUGGUUAGGACCUGGAUGGGAGACCACCCGAGCAUAUCUGGUGGGAUUU
rnacentral:rRNA from 1 species